CCAGCAGCUCACAUUGUCACUGGGACCUGGCCUGCUCCCAGGGUUCCCGAGAGCUGUGGGGCUGCCCCCAACACCCAAGUCCCAUUAGCGAGGCUGGGGGCUCCUCUCCCUUUGCUGGCAGACCGGAAAGCCAGGCUCCCCUCCCCUCGCCCCGCCCCCGCCCCCCCCACCUCCGCCCCUCCCCGCCCCCGCCCCGCCUCCUUGAUUCUCACCGGAUCAAAGUGUCACAAGUCAGAUUCCUUAAAACUGCUUUCCAGGGGAACCCAAAAUAUCUGUUUCUAGAAGUGUUGGCAUUCAGGAGCUGGAGAUGACUCACAGCCCAGCCAGUGUCUCCUCUUCCGCACCCACGCUGCGGGGUCUGUUUCUAGACUGCCUGGUUGUAUGCGGGGUUCCGGGAACCCGGAUCUUCCAGCCUCUUGUCUUAACGGGAACGUUCCAUCCGUGGUUUUGUCCGAGUGUCCGGCGCGUGGGUUGCAGCCACUGUCCUGAAGCUCUAGGCGGUGAUGAGCUCUCUGACCCAAGGCAAAGCCACCCGUGUUCCGCUCGUUCCGCGUCGCUGGACCUGCACUGCGGGUGUUUAAUCGCACCGGGAGGUUUUCUGACGGAGGCAGUUGUAUUCCCCCGAGAUUAUCGCAACACUUCUGCUCCAACGGGAACGUCCUCCUGCAAAGCCACAGUGCCGGAAGUUCACAGCAGUGUUUCAUCGGUGUCCGAUAUCCAGUCCACACUCGGGCUCCCAGCUGCGCCAGUGUGUCACACGUGGUGCUUUUCCAAACCAGCGCCAAGACUCAGGCUCUCCUCAGCUGCUGGUUUCUUGUCCCUGCUGUGGCAGAAGCCGCCGGCCCUCCCUAUUCUUCCUUUCCAUGGCAGUUUCAGGACAGCGACUCAGAAGACAAGGUGCAUCCCGGGGCCAUCACGGAACCCCCCUCCCCAGUGCUCCUGAAACAGGCAGUGCUGUUUACAGCAGGCGUCUCGGCAGCAUGGAGGGGAGAAGCCACCUGGCUGCCGCUUCCACCUCGGAUUUGGCGCUGCUCUGGGUGAUGCACGUGGACAGGGAACCACCUCAGUGUCGGUGAUGCCCGUGACCCUAAGGCUUCCACCUCCUGGGAAGGCUGUUAGGAAAUCCCGUGUGUCACCCACCCUCGCUGCCAGGAGUCACUCGGUGGUUAUUGGACUGAGGCCCCGUGGCAGGACUGGCUUCUACGGGAGGCUGCCCUCGCCAGGCUGGUUGGUCACCGCAAAUCCGCGCUGCCUCCCCCACGCUGCCUCCCCGACGCAUGUCCUCAGCCACCGCCCUUGUUCAUCAGACAUAAAAAGAGCCCAUCGGGGACCACCUAAUGGUGCAGAGUCCUCACCCAGCCAUGCAGCGGCCUUCACACAGCUGCCCUUGCGGAAAGAGUAUUUUUUUUGAGUCUGAGUCUCCCUCUGUUGCCCAGGCUGGAGUGCAAUGGCGCGAUCUUGGCUCACCGCAACCUCCGCCUCCUGGGUUCAGGCAAUUCUCCUGCCUCAGCCUCCUGAGUAGCUGGGAUUACAGGCACGCGCCACCAAGCCCGGCUAAUUUUUUGUAUUUUUAGUAGAGACGGGGUUUCACCAUGUUGACCAGGAUGGUCUUGAUCUCCUGACCUCGUGAUCUGCCCCCACUCAGUCCCUCAAAGUGCUGGGAUUAUAGGUGUGAGCCACCGCGCCCAGCUGAGGAAAUAAAAUUUAACUCUAACCUGCCUAUGUGUUCA
rnacentral:lncRNA from 13 species